UACGUAGGGGCCAAGCGUUGUCCGGAUUUAUUGGGCGUAAAGAGCUCGUAGGCGGUUCGGCAAGUCGAAUGUGAAAUCUCCACGCUCAACGUGGAGGGGUCAUUCGAUACUGCCGUGACUCGAGUCCGGUAGGGGAGUGUGGAAUUCCCGGUGUAGCGGUGAAAUGCGCAGAGAUCGGGAGGAACACCCGUAGCGAAGGCGGCACUCUGGGCCGGUACUGGACGCUGAGGAGCGAAAGCGUGGGGAGCAAACAGGG
rnacentral:rRNA from 1 species